rnacentral:misc_RNA from 1 species
GUUAAUCUUCUCAACUUUGGUUUUGAGGCCAAAGCUUUGGAAAGUGGAGGUGUGCUGGCCUGGCUGCCCAAGUCGGGGUCAGCUCCUCUGAAAAAUAUUAGCGAAAGAGAAACACACCUGUUCCUUGCAUCUAUUGCUUCUGGCAUUGAUAGUUGUCUAUGCCUGCCGCAUUCUGGGGUGCAUAUAAAUUAGGAAUUGGUGAGGCUCUCGCUCAUAGUUGUCUUCGGACACCUUUGAACAC